rnacentral:rRNA from 1 species
ACACGUUGGCCAACUACCCCUACAGACCGCGAUAACCUCGGGAAAACUGAGGCCAAUAGCGGAAUACAGCUCUCAUGCUGGAGUGCCGAGAGCUGGAAACGUUCCGGCGCUGUAGGAUGUGGCUGCGGCCGAUUAGGUAGAUGGUGGGGUAACGGCCCACCAUGCCGAUAAUCGGUACGGGUUGUGAGAGCAAGAGCCUGGAGACGGUAUCUGAGACAAGAUACCGGGCCCUACGGGGCGCAGCAGGCGCGAAACCUUUACACUGCACGACAGUGCGAUAGAGGGACUCCGAGUGUGAGGGCAUAUAGCCCUCGCUUUUCUGUACCGUAAGGUGGUACAGGAAUAAGGACUGGGCAAGACCGGUGCCAGCCGCCGCGGUAAUACCGGCAGUCCAAGUGAUGGCCGAUAUUAUUGGGCCUAAAGCGUCCGUAGCCUGCUGUGUAAGUCCAUUGGGAAAUCGACCAGCUCAACUGGUCGACGUCCGGUGGAAACUACACAGCUUGGGGCCGAGAGACUCGACGGGUACGUCCGGGGUAGGAGUGAAAUCCUGUAAUCCUGGACGGACCACCAAUGGCGAAAGCACGUCGAGAGACCGGACCCGACGGUGAGGGACGAAAGCCAGGGUCUCGAACCGGAUUAGAUACCCGGGUAGUCCUGGCUGUAAACAAUGCUCGCUAGGUAUGUCACGCGCCAUGAGCACGUGAUGUGCC